GCGGGGGAGAUUGCUUCGGUAAUUGACCUAGCGGCGGACGGGUGAGUAAUACUUAGGAAUCUGCCUAUUAAUGGGGGACAACAUCUCGAAAGGGAUGCUAAUACCGCAUACGCCCUACGGGGGAAAGCAGGGGAUCACUUGUGACCUUGCGUUAAUAGAUGAGCCUAAGUCGGAUUAGCUAGUUGGUGGGGUAAAGGCCUACCAAGGCGACGAUCUGUAGCGGGUCUGAGAGGAUGAUCCGCCACACUGGGACUGAGACACGGCCCAGACUCCUACGGGAGGCAGCAGUGGGGAAUAUUGGACAAUGGGGGGAACCCUGAUCCAGCCAUGCCGCGUGUGUGAAGAAGGCCUUAUGGUUGUAAAGCACUUUAAGCGAGGAGGAGGCUCUUUUGGUUAAUACCCAAGAUGAGUGGACGUUACUCGCAGAAUAAGCACCGGCUAACUCUGUGCCAGCAGCCGCGGUAAUACAGAGGGUGCGAGCGUUAAUCGGAUUUACUGGGCGUAAAGCGUGCGUAGGCGGCUUUUUAAGUCGGAUGUGAAAUCCCCGAGCUUAACUUGGGAAUUGCAUUCGAUACUGGGAAGCUAGAGUAUGGGAGAGGAUGGUAGAAUUCCAGGUGUAGCGGUGAAAUGCGUAGAGAUCUGGAGGAAUACCGAUGGCGAAGGCAGCCAUCUGGCCUAAUACUGACGCUGAGGUACGAAAGCAUGGGGAGCAAACAGGAUUAGAUACCCUGGUAGUCCAUGCCGUAAACGAUGUCUACUAGCCGUUGGGGUCUUUGAGACUUUAGUGGCGCAGCUAACGCGAUAAGUAGACCGCCUGGGGAGUACGGUCGCAAGACUAAAACUCAAAUGAAUUGACGGG
rnacentral:rRNA from 1 species